GGAAUCAAGAUUUAUAACAUAAACAAGCUCCAUGGGAAACCUAUUCAUCUAAACAAGAUACAUUUGUUCCUCUAUCUUUUGUUAUUAAGCAUAAUAUUUUUUAUUUACUAGGAAGUUUUUAGGAACUUUUUAGCAAAAAAGAAAAAAAAAGUUUUGGGAACUUGGAUUCUUGCGAGUUUUGUUGCAGAGACAUAUUUAAUUGCUCCUCUCCUGUUGUAAUUGAAUUAGGACUCUCAAGAUAGGAAGACUUUCGAUGUUGGUACUAAUCUUUUCAUUGGAAACCUUGGCUCUGUAUGUAUAUAUGAUAUCUGGUGGUAACUAUAUUGUGAAAUAAUUUAGCAAAAAAAAAAAAAACUAUAUUGUGAAAUAUUGGUAUUUCACUACAAUAGCUGAUUAGGUUUUGCUUUAACAGGAUGUGGAUGAAAAGAUCGUGUAUGAUACUUUCAGCACAUUUGGUGAAUUGGUGGCAUUGCUUCUAAUCCUAAAAUAAUUUGAAGUUUACAGACCGGGUCUUGGCUCCAAGUUGUCCCCGGGUCUCUGAAGCCGUUACCCUUGCCCAGUGGAUCUCUCAAAGCUACACUCACAACUUAGGCUCGGAGUUAGUAAACGAUUGCCUCUCUUGGAAGCAAGACUCUGUUGAAACUUAUAUGGAAUCACCAAGAUGCCAUCUUGUGUUGCUCUUUAAAGCCUCAACCAGUGUUUAUGUUCGCGAACCAAGCUGGUUUAGACAUGCUAGAGACAACGCUUGUAGCCUUACAAGACAUUGCACUGGAAAAGAUCUUUGAUGAAUCUGGUCGAAAGGCUCUUUGCUCAGACUUCGCCAAGCUAAUGCAACAGGAAUUUGCGUGCUUGCCUUCAGGAAUCUGUUUGUCUACAAUGGGGGACAUGCCACUUAUGAACAAGCUGUUGCUUGGAAAGUGUUUGCUGUAUCCGAUAACGACAAUAAUAAUAAUUUGCAUUGUCUUGCUUUCUCCUUUGUAAACUGGUCGUUUGUGUAGUCUCAUCUCUAAUGAGUGUAUUAGUAAAGGCUAAUCAAAUUUACAUUAUAGACAACACACUUUUUGUUGUUGUUGUUGCGUAA